rnacentral:misc_RNA from 1 species
AAGUCGUAACAAGGUCUCCGUUGGUGAACCAGCGGAGGGAUCAUUGCUGGAAUACACGCCCUCACGGGUGCUACCCAGAAACCCUUUGUGAAUUAUACUAUAACCUGUUGCCUCGGCAGUGACUGGCUUUCUCUGAAAGUCCCUUUUUUGUUUUUUCGAAAAAGGAGCAGGUCGGCCGGUGGCCCUAUAAACUCUUUGUUUUUACUAUGUAUCUUCUGAGUAAACAACUAUAAAUGAAUCAAAACUUUUAACAACGGAUCUCUUGGUUCUG